GAAAGAAACCAACAGGGAUUGCCCUAGUAACGGCGAGUGAAGCGGCAACAGCUCAAAUUUGAAAUCUGGCUUUCGGGCCCGAGUUGUAAUUUGUAGAGGAUACUUUUGAUGCGGUGCCUUCCGAGUUCCCUGGAACGGGACGCCAUAGAGGGUGAGAGCCCCGUCUGGUUGGAUGCCAAAUCUCUGUAAAGUUCCUUCGACGAGUCGAGUAGUUUGGGAAUGCUGCUCUAAAUGGGAGGUAUAUGUCUUCUAAAGCUAAAUAUUGGCCAGAGACCGAUAGCGCACAAGUAGAGUGAUCGAAAGAUGAAAAGCACUUUGAAAAGAGAGUUAAAAAGUACGUGAAAUUGUUGAAAGGGAAGCGUUUAUGACCAGACUUGGACUUGGUUAAUCAUCUGGGGUUCUCCCCAGUGCACUUUUCCAGUUCAGGCCAGCAUCAGUUUUCGCCGGGGGAUAAAGGCUUCGGGAAUGUAGCUCUCUUCGGGGAGUGUUAUAGCCCGUUGUGUAAUACCCUGGUGGAGACUGAGGUUCGCGCUUCUGCAAGGAUGCUGGCGUAAUGGUCAUCAACGACCCGUCUUGAAACACGGACCAAGGAGUCGUCUUCGUAUGCGAGUGUUCGGGUGUCAAACCCCUACGCGUAAUGAAAGUGAACGCAGGUGAGAGCUUCGGCGCAUCAUCGACCGAUCCUGAUGUUCUCGGAUGGAUUUGAGUAAGAGCAUACGGGGCCGGACCCGAAAGAAGGUGAACUAUGCCUGUAUAGGGUGAAGCCAGAGGAAACUCUGGUGGAGGCUCGCAGCGGUUCUGACGUGCAANUCGAUCGUCAAAUAUGGGCAUGGGGGCGAAAGACUAAUCGAACCUUCUAG
rnacentral:rRNA from 1 species